rnacentral:rRNA from 1 species
GUCUACAGCCACACCACCAGAAGGCACCUAAUCUCGUCUGAUCUUGGUAGCUAAAGCAGGCUCCAGCCUGGCUAGUCCUUGGGCAAGGGAGUUCUGACGACC